CCCUUAGAUGUCCUGGGCCGCACGCGUGCUACACUGACGCCUACAGCGAGUACUUCCCAGCCCCGAGAGGUGGCUGGUAAUCAGCAAUAGGCGUCGUGAUGGGGAUAGAUCUUUGGAAUUAUGGAUCUUGAACGAGGAAUGCCUAGUAAGCGCAGGUCAUUAGCCUGCGCUAAUUAAGUCCCUGCCCUUUGUACACACCGCCCGUCGCUCCUACCGAUUUCGAGUGGUCCGGUGAAUCUUUCGGACUGCGCGCGGCCUCGUGCCGUGUCGCGGAAAGUCAGGUAAACCUUAUCACUUAGAGGAAGGAGAANUCGUANCA
rnacentral:rRNA from 1 species